rnacentral:rRNA from 1 species
GAUGAACGCUGGCGGCGUGCCUAAUACAUGCAAGUCGAGCGAACAGACGAGGAGCUUGCUCCUCUGACGUUAGCGGCGGACGGGUGAGUAACACGUGGAUAACCUACCUAUAAGACUGGGAUAACUUCGGGAAACCGGAGCUAAUACCGUAUAAUAUAUUGAACCGCAUGGUUCAAUAGUGAAAGACGGUUUUGCUGUCACUUAUAGAUGGAUCCGCGCCGCAUUAGCUAGUUGGUAAGGUAACGGCUUACCAAGGCAACGAUGCGUAGCCGACCUGAGAGGGUGAUCGGCCACCCUGGAACUGAGCCACGGUCCAGACUCCUACGGGAGGCAGCAGUAGGGAAUCUUCCGCAAUGGGCGAAAGCCUGACGGAGCAACGCCGCGUGAGUGAUGAAGGUCUUCGGAUCGUAAAACUCUGUUAUUAGGGAAGAACAAAUGUGUAAGUAACUAUGCACGUCUUGACGGUACCUAAUCAGAAAGCCACGGCUAACUACGUG